CUUUGAUAGAGUUGAAGACAGAUAGUUAUGGUUAUAGUUUUCUUCAGUUAUUAUAAAAGAUGAGUUAUCCUUUUUAUUUAGACAGAAAAGAGGAGAUGAUGGGGAAUGUACUACUGUGUAUGUUUAUUUUAUUGAUUGUUAAAUAAAAUACUGUUUGGCCAAUGAGACAGCAAGUUAGACGGGACUGGAAGUCAAAGAGGAUUCUGGGAAAUGUAGUAGAGAAGUGCUGAUCCAGGCAGGAAGUGACAUAGCAAGGAGACUCAUAUUUAAGCGAAGGAGAAACAGGAAGGGUCCCUCUUUUCCCCUUCGCUCCUCCUCCAGCGGCAGGAUGUGAUCCACAGCAAGGAGGGACGCCAAUAAGGCGUCCGAUAAGAUAAAUCUUAUAAAAUAUAUAGAUUUAUGAUAGUUAAGACUGAGCUAGCAGAUGAGAAUCCUAGUCACUGGCCAAGCAGCAUUGUACCUAAUACAAGUUUCUGUGUAUUCAUUUGGGCCUAACUCGGGCAGGUGGCUGGCAUAAAGCGUACAUGUGGCGGUGGUGCAUGGCAGCUUUUGGCAGAAAGAUUUAUCGUAACACUCCAUCAUAUCACAAAGUCACUAGCGCAGCUAUGUUCAUAGCAGUAUUAUUCGUAAUAGCCAGAUACUGGAAACAACCUAGAUGUCCUUCAACCAAUGAAUGGAUAAAGAAAAUGUGGUCCAUUUACACAAUGGAGUAUUAGCAGCUGAUAAAAACAAUGACAUCAUGAAAUUUGAAGGCAAAUGGAUGGAACUAGACAAAAUAUCAUCCUGAGGGAAGUAACCCAACCCAGAAAGACAAACAUGGUAUGAACUCACUUAUAGCUGGAUAUUAGCUGUUAAGUAUACGAUAAUUAUGCAACAAUUCACAGACCCACAAAAGCUAAGUAACAAGGAGGACCCAAAGAAGGUUGGGAUCUGCUUGGGAAGGGGACAUAGAAGAGAUUUUGUGAGUGGACUUGGGGCAGGUGGCAUCAGGUUGGAGGGGAAUGGAGAGAGUACUAGGAGAGACGGCUGGAAUUGGAGAGCAUUUGGGGGUGGGGGGUACGACGUGAAAACCUACUGCAGGAGAAACUCCCGGUAUUCUAUGAGCGUGACCCUAGCAAGGAUUCCUAGUCAUGGAGGAUUCGAAGCCCAAACCAGCCAUUCUCAGCAACCAGGCAAGGCUUCCAGGAAUGGGACUGGGAUGCCAACACAGCCCCAAAACCUGACCUCCAAUCUAUCCCACUUGCAAGAUGUCCUGGAGCAAUGGAGACACAGACUUGUGUGAAUGGCCAACCAAUAACUGGUCUGAUUUGAGGUCCACACCACGAGAGGGCACCCAUGCCAGACAAUGCCUGGACGACUGACUAACCUAGAGACCUUUGAUAGAAAAAAAAAUCAACAAACUGAUUCCUAGUGACAUUCUGCUGUUCUCACAGAUCAAUGCUUAGCCCAGUUGUCAUCUAUAAUCCUGGGACUACAGAAGCUGAGGCAGAAAGGUCCGAGUUUACCAGCCUGUGCCACACAGCAAGUUCCAGGCCAGUUCAGGCCAUAUAGCAAGACAUUGUCUAAACCAAAGCAAAACAAAAGUUAUUUCCACCAGCAGUCAAAGGGUUACUCCUGGCAGCUACUCCUCCAAUACACAGUGGCCAAGCCAUGAGUGUCAUUCUGGGAGUCCUCACUGUAACAGUAACAGAGGAGCAUGGGGGAAGCCAUCUCCUUCCUGAAUGUUCUACCCCUCACUCUGGUAGUACUAAGAAAGGAGCAGUGGGCAGUCUGCACAUCUGGGCCCGGGAAGUCAGGCUUGAGUGUCGCUCUAGAGGGCUGGAUGCAUGUGUUUAGCCUCCGGGAGACAGAAACAUGUUCUUGUCGUUUCUGCGGACUACAGGAAUUUCUUGGCCGGCCACCUCUUACCCCGUCCUUGAAGGCAGACACACAGAAUCUCUCUGGCUCCGACUGGUUCCACGUACCUCCACCUUCCAGUUGUCAAGACCCUCGUGAUGGCCUUGGGUCUGCCUGGGUCCCCCCAGACAAACUUCCUGAACUCAGCUGCCUAGCAACCCUCUCUCCCCAUUGCCACAUAACCUAAUGUGUCUGCAGGUCCUGGGUAUUAGAACACGGAUAACUCGGGUGGAGGUGGAGACUCCCUUCUUCCUGCUGCCCCUCAAGGUUUCCAUGGAGGCAUGAGAAAGGCCCUAGAGUCCAGAGAGGGCCUGAAAUGAUUCCCAGUAGCCAAGCAGACGACUGUUCUCUUCCUCGAGGCAUCUUCUGUGCUUUCUCUCUGCAGACCUAUUCCUCUGGCUUUCUACUUUAAAGCACACAGUGCCAGCUCCCAAGCGGCUGAGCCUGGUUGGUUCAGACAACUCUCUCUGACCUCCUCUACUCGUCUGAGGCUCCGGGCCAGCACUUAGGACAGGCCAGCUCUCCCGGAAGGAAGGGCGGGCAGCAGCAAUGCUACCAAAACUGCAGGAGAUGAAGCCACCCGGUGCCAAGGAGGAAGGAAGAAUAAAGUACACUGGCAUCUUCUAACAACUCCACCCCUCCAAGUCACCUAUCCUCCCCUCCCACCAGGGCCCCCAAUUCCUGCUAAAGUCUCCAAGUGACCGCAAUAGGGGGCGGUGGAAUUGAGGUGUCAGUCAUUGGACUGCCAUUUGGAUCACUCAAGACAUGCCUGUUAGCUUUGCCGGGUCCAAAACUCUAACUUAGGUCUGACUCAGCCAGAAGACAGAAUCAGGGAGGAGAGAGCAGCCACAUUGAUGCAAGGAGGCCCCUGAUUUGCUGAGUGCACAGCCCCAAAGCAGCGACGUUUUGUGGGGUUUUGUGUCCCUCUUGUUUCUUUGCUGGUUUGUUUCCUUUCCUUUCCCCGUAAGGCCCUGGAACUGCUGGGCAGAAAUAAAAUACUUCCAUAGACGAA
ensembl:lncRNA